CCUGGCUGUACGAAAUCGAGAAUAACGAUAAAGCAAGCAAUAAAGAGAACAACAAAGCCUUUCUUCUCAUUAUUCAAGAGUGUAUUCACGUGUCCUGUCUUAGAAGAUAAACCAAGCUUCGAACGACUUACACAGUACACAGUUAGGUCGACGGUGGCGACAGCUUAUGCCUUAGUCAAAAUAUCUCAGCCAGAAUUUGAAACUAGCAAAUAACACUCAGCCCUUGCAAGCCAAUGGCCCGUGAUCAAAAGACCAUUUGUGGCAAUUU